GACGAACCGUGCGAACGUUGUUCGGAAUUACUGGGCGUAAAGGGCUCGUAGGCGGCCAACUAAGUCAGACGUGAAAUCCCUCGGCUUAACCGUGGAACUGCCUGUCAGACUGCAUGGCUUGAGACCAGGAGAGGUGAGUGGAAUUCCCAGUGUAGCGGUGAAAUGCGUAGAUAUUGGGAGGAACACCAGUGGCGAAGGCGGCUCACUGGACUGGUACUGACGCUGAGGCGCGAAAGCGUGGGGAGCAAACAGG
rnacentral:rRNA from 1 species